CGAACGCUGGCGGCAGGCCUAACACAUGCAAGUCGCACGAUAAGCUAUCUUCGGAUAGUGGACAGUGGCGCACGGGUGAGUAACGCGUGGGAACCUGCCCUGAAGUGGGGAACAACCGCUGGAAACGGCGGCUAAUACCGCAUAAUCCCUGAGGGGGAAAGACUUCGGUCGCUUUAGGAUGGUCCCGCGUCUGAUUAGCUAGUUGGUGAGGUAACGGCUCACCAAGGCGACGAUCAGUAGCUGGUCUGAGAGGAUGGUCAGCCACACUGGGACUGAGACACGGCCCAGACUCCUACGGGAGGCAGCAGUGGGGAAUAUUGGACAAUGGGCGCAAGCCUGAUCCAGCCAUGCCGCGUGAGUGAAGAAGGCCCUAGGGUUGUAAAGCUCUUUCAGAUGUGAAGAUGAUGACUGUAGCAUCAGAAGAAGCCCCGGCUAACUCCGUGCCAGCAGCCGCGGUAAU
rnacentral:rRNA from 1 species